GGGGGUGUUGCUCAGUGGUAGAGCACAUGCUUAGCAUGCCUGAGGCCCUGGGUUCUACCCCCAGCAUUACCA
rnacentral:tRNA from 1 species